AACGAACGCUGGCGGCAGGCUUAACACAUGCAAGUCGAGCGCCCCGCAAGGGGAGCGGCAGACGGGUGAGUAACGCGUGGGAAUCUACCCAUCUCUACGGAAUAACGCAUGGAAACGUGUGCUAAUACCGUAUACGUCCUUCGGGAGAAAGAUUUAUCGGAGAUGGAUGAGCCCGCGUUGGAUUAGCUAGUUGGUGGGGUAAAGGCCUACCAAGGCGACGAUCCAUAGCUGGUCUGAGAGGAUGAUCAGCCACACUGGGACUGAGACAUGGCCCAGACUCCUACGGGAGGCAGCAGUGGGGAAUAUUGGACAAUGGGCGGAAGCCUGAUCCAGCCAUGCCGCGUGAGUGAUGAAGGCCCUAGGGUUGUAAAGCUCUUUCACCGGUGAAGAUAAUGACGGUAACCGGAGAAGAAGCCCCGGCUAACUUCGUGCCAGCAGCCGCAGUAACAC
rnacentral:rRNA from 1 species